rnacentral:tRNA from 1 species
CAGGUUAUUCUUAGUGAAAUUAUUAUUUACAAUAAUAUUUUUAGUUGUGCAAUUCAACUUGGCCUGA